UCUGGGCAUGGGCGAGACAGCCAUCAAGGCCUUGCCCUCUGAGCCAGGAGGAAGCCCUGCGGAGCCCUGGGCCUGGAUAUUGGGGUGCUCCCAGGCUGUCCUUCAGACCCCAAGCGGUCCUCUGCUCGCUUUCCAAGGCUGCACCGUAGGCCCAUGCCUUCCCUCAGCUUUCGUGUUCAGGAAGACCUUAAAGCAUUUUCAUGGAGCUGCUUAAGCAUUCUGAGCCAUUGUAAUUUUAAACCAGACCCAUUUUAGGAGUGAAAACUGGCCCAGAGAGAGUCUUUACAGAGUAACUUCAAUCUGACAUGAACUCAAGUGACUUUGUAAAAAUAAGAUCCCAAAGGGGUGGGUUUCUGGUGGAAAGGCUGCCGGGUACUCAGCACAGGGAUCCUCAGCACCAGUUAAUAUCCACCAAACACGCAUCAUUAAACUGGAACAAACAUGACCCUGAAUUACUGGCUCCCUAUUUUCCUGAAUGUAGGUCAUUUUGUGUCCUUACAAUUUAACGUUUCAAGGGAUUUCCUGUCUUUGAAGUCCAGCCCUCCGUCACCUGUUUGGAUAGCCUCCUUAAAAGUAAGGGCUCCGUGCCUACUUUGGAAGGCUUAGUGACUCCGUGUUCCCCUGGAGUUUCCCAGGUCACUAAGGCAGCCCACCUGCAGGUGCAGGUCUCUCCUUUACAAGUCAGCGCCUGCAGAUCCCCUAUCCCAGACUUCAUUUCUCUAGGUCAGAGCCUACCAGAAAAGCCCGGAGCCAUCCAUUCACCUGGGUGAAGCCAUAAAGAGUGGGCCCCGUGCCAAAUACUGAAGCUGACUCGGUCUCUGCCUGUUGGGCUGCUGAUUAAAAAAGAUAUACCAUAAAAGAGGUGAAAGAGGGUGAAACCCAUUCCCUGUCACUCUCAAGGAGUAAAACAUCAUUAAAUCUUCACGAAAAGAUCGUUCACUGCAAAACACUGGAAUUUUUGAACUGGAGUCAAGAGAUACGACACUAUUUUAUGUUGAUCCAUUCAAUGGGCCCUAAGAGCCCACGGAAAGAUGCCGGAAGAAUACGUGGAUGAAGUAAUCGUUAAUAAAUCUGUUGAUAUUCCCAAUGUAAGAACAGAAAGAAAUGCUCUGACCUCUCACUCCAGAAAUAGAGGUCCUCCUACACAUGUCACACCACUACCUCGGAUACCAAAAAUGAACUCAGAUUUCUAAAUAGUGACAGGUUCUCAGAUCAUACGAUACUAGGAAAGCGCUGCCAAGGAUAGGAGAAAAGACUCAGAAAGUGAAAAAUCGACAUUUAGGUUUGGCUUGGUGGCAUUAAUCCUACAAACAUUGGAAUACUAAUCAAAUCUUCGGAUGCAAGCCAUGUGCAAUAGAAGAAACAAGGAACCACAUAUUAAGGACGGAUUAUGUGCUCUGUUGCCACUCAGAAAUUCUCUGCCUUGCUGCCCAGGGGAAAUGCGGCUGCCCAGCUGGGACUGUGCCUCUCAGUUUCCUUUGCAUCUUGCUAGGGUCCUGGGACAAGUUUUCACCAAUGGAGGAUGAGUAGAAGGAGGGUUUCUAAGUACGCUCCAUGACCAACAUGGGGCUUGAACUUACAACCCAAAGAUCGGGAGUCGUGUCCUCUACCACUGAGCCAACGAGGGACCCCCUGGAGGGUUUCUAAGAAGUGGGUGUGCCUUCUUCACUGUGUCUGUGGGCCGACAAUGAUGCUGAAGACCUACAUAGAAACCUGAAUCCUCUCUCUCAUAGAUAAGGAACAUCUUCUUUGAAUUAUUAUCUGAGUGAGAAACUUCUACUAUGUUAAGCCAUUUUUUAAAGUCUCUGGUUACAGCAGCUAAUGUGACCCCAACACAUACACUGCCGAAGCUACACUCUUCCUCAAGAUUCCUAUUGUAGUCGUCCUUUCCAUGCCAGACCACGAAACUCCUUUAGGACUUUGAUGAAAUCCGUAUAGUGCAGAGCAUGUAAGGUAUUUAGUACAUGCAUGUGAAAUGGAGGAAAAGAGGAGGAAGGGAGGGAGGGAGGAGUGACUGAAUUAAUGUGUAUGCAUUUAAGGUGACUCACUUAUUUUCUUUUAAGCCUUCCAGCUCAACAUGUCCAUCCCUUCCCCACCCUCCAUUAAGUUGUAAAGCCGGGAAAUAUUUUUUCCUUUCUUCAUGGUCUUCCAAAGGUUGAACGCAGAGCCUUGAGAGAAAUCACUGGCCAGAGGAAAGCAAUCCCUUAGAGAAAGCAAUCACCCUAGAGAGCUGGGCCACCGCCAACAUCUCCAUCAGCAACUUGGAAGAGUUGUCUGACUUCCCAACACAAUAAAAAUGGAGACAUGAGCAUCCAGAGCCCCAGCCAGCACAAUUACAUGAAGCCAAAGCACAUUAUCACUUCUGGGUUGCAGGAUUUAUGACCAACUAUGAUGGAAAAUAAAGACAGAGAUACUUGUCUGAAUUCAUCCACAGAAGGCAAUACAUUUUAAUCAUACAGAAGUUGUAUAUAUUGUACUUUUUCUAAUAAAAACCUUAGCAAAUGGAGCAGAAACAGAUGCCAGCAUCCCAGAGAAAAAAAGAAAAAUGAAAAAGAUUGCCAGUUUGCUCCUGUUUAGAGGAUAGACAAUUGAUAUCCUUUAUUGUUGAAAAACUCUUUUUAAAUGUACUGAGGUGUUUCUAUUUUGGUGGUUUCCUGGAUUUGGGAAACUGCUUCUAAUUUGAGUGGAGCAGAGGAGUAGGCUUGUAUUUAAGCAUUAAGUGGUGAGGCUAAAAUCCUGCCACUUCUAGGAAGCCUGUUAUUUCCACGUGCCACAAAUGUUACUUCCUGUGGCAGUGAGUGCUCCUGCCCUGACCUCCCCUAGAAUCGUGCUCUUCAUCCAGCAGAGCAUUCUUUGGUUUUAUUACCAUUGCUCAUUGAUUGUCUUCACUCUAGGAUGUGUACUCUCCCCCCUCCCCCAGGAGUGAAGGCCCAUGGGCUUCCUGGCCCGGUGCUGCCAUAUAGUGAAUACUCAAAAAAUAUUGAAGAGGCCUGAUUAGGUUGUGAUUUUAUGUAAUUAAAAUUCUUCACACAGACCACUUGUUUCCACUAUUGACAAUGAAAAGAUAAACCAUCAUGGUUUUUGUCUAACGUUGUUGAAUUUUGAAUUAUUUAAAGACAUACUGGUGAAACCCCUGUCUUACUGUUUAUCGGAACCAAAAGAACAGCUUUGGAACCUCUGCAAGUUAAAAAGAUUGCUUGAGAAAGGAAGAGAUGCACUAUAUAAUCCUUCAAACACAAGACUCAUUGCUUAAUUCUGUCAAUGCUUAGAAUAACUCCUUGAACCCUAAAAGCGAGUUUGUUUGCAGAACACCUGACACAGAGACCACAAUUUUAUGAUGUUUGCCUUUCACAGUCAAGUUUACAUUAGGGAGCUAUAUUUUCCCCAUAUUUAUUUUUAAAUCGUUUGAGUUUUCCAAUGAAAUAACAUUCUCUUUUUCUUCCCUCUUCCCAAAUGAACACAUUUAUUUUUUUAAUCGUGAAACAUUCUACAUGAGGCUGUGGUUGGUGGUUGGGAUGCUCUGGAGUGGUGCACCUGGAAAAGAAUGUGUUAUUAGCAUUCAAGGAAAUACUUAGUGGGUUGAAUGUCUAGCCACUAAAAUAACAGUUCAUCAUAGCCCAGAUAUCCACCCAAGAGUGGCAAUCAGAUUUCCUAGAGUCCAAAUAAAGGAUGAGAACACUGAGGAGGGGCAGAUCAGAGGGACAAACUAUGUUUGGAAAUGGGAAGUAGGUCAAGGAACUAAGGAUUUGAAAUGUAGGGGAAGAAAAGGGGAGGACGCAUGGAUCGUCUCCUCCGUAGACAUCCAGUUUGAACCUAAUCUAAGUUAGUGAAAAGUAAAAUCAUUAUCUGAUGUUUUGUGGCCACAUUGAAAAUGUGUUGGUAGUUUCAGCCAGACUAGAGUCAACAUUGAAAACCACCAGCACCACUGACUUGAGCUGCACAGCAUAGCUAUGGCCCAAACCUGGCCAGAAGGGCCUGAUGCCAAUUAUGGUCAGAAUGGGGAUCAGAGCAACAGAAGAGCCACAUACUUACUCGAGGUGGCCUCCAGGGGAAUGCUGGGAUAUCCAUCCCUAGGCUACUCAUUCACCUCCUCUCUGGAGCAAUAAACAAAGAGAUGGCAAGAGGCUAAGCUCCUUUAGUUAGGAACUUUUUUCCCCCCCCUAAAGAUUUAUUUAUUUAUUUAUUCAUGAGAGACACAGAGAGAGGCAGAGACACAGGCAGAGGGAGAAGCAGGCUCCAUGCAGGGAGCCUGAUGUGGGACUCAAUCCUGGGUCUCCAGGAUCACGCCCUGGGCCGCAGGCAGGUACCAAACCGCAGAGCCACCCAGGUGUCCCUAGUUAGGGACUUUUAACCUUAAGGUGAUUAUAGAUUCAAAGAUUUAUGUUUUUAUUCAAUAAUGACCUGGAGUUCAUGUAUUUCUACAUAUAUACAUGCAUAAGUAUAUCUAUGUACCUGCCUGCUUAGUGUUUAUAUAAAUGUGAAUGAAUUUAAAACAUUCUAAACUUAGAUUGUGGUAAUGGCUAAACAAGUCUGAAUAUGCUAAAAACCAUUAAAUUGUUCAUUUAAAUGGGUAAAUUUUAUCUCACUGAAGAUGUUUUUUAAAAAAUGAAUGUAUUUAUCUCUUUAUUUUUCUACAACUAAAAAUCAUACACUGGGUUUUGUUAUUAUUAUUGACUUCCUUCCUCCUAUGCUUUUUUCCCCCUCUCUUCUCCAGGUCUUGGUAGUCCCAGGAUACACUCCAGGAUUGCUAAAUGCUGGCUAACAAAUUAUAGCUUUAUUCUAAUUUUAGAGCUGCCAGGCCUUGUCCAUGUUAUGAGGUCAUCAAGAAAAACUAUACCAAAGAUGAAACUGACCCAGAAUGGUGCUCCUCACAUGCUCCUGCACUCCUGCCCCCCUACCUGCCCAGCUUCUCAUUGCCUCUCUGGGUGUGGAUGCCUAUUGUGGUCUCAGGCAUCACCAUGUGAAAGAUGACGUUUUCAGUGAUUUCUUCUUCUAACAUUCUAGGAUGUGGAUGAAAUUGGUGGGAAUUAUUGUGAAUGUCAAACUGGUGGGGGUUUUUUGAUUGAAGUAUAGUUGAGAUACAGUAUUAUGCAACACAGUGAUUUGACAUGAAUAUAUAUUGUAAAAUGGUUGCCAUAAUAAGUCUAGUUCUGUGGUUAUUUUAAAACCUAUCUUCAAAGUCAGUUCAUAUGCAAUAAUUCAGCUGUACAAUGUCUUGGGUGGUAUAAUUGCAGUUGUAAUUGCAGUUGUUGUUAUAAUAGAUGAUAAAAUCUUAUAAGGGUUAUAUUCCUCAGUUUUGUAGGAGCUAUUCAUCUCUUUUUUUUUUUGAUGGGUUGAUAAAUCAAGUGAAUAGCAUAUAGCACUGCUUCUCAAAUGAUUGUGAAAGAUCUAAUUUUAUAAAAUUUCCAAGAGAUUGGUAACUUUUGUAAA